rnacentral:rRNA from 1 species
GGCGAACGGGUGAGUAACACGUGGGUGAUCUGCCCUGCACUUCGGGAUAAGCCUGGGAAACUGGGUCUAAUACCGGAUAGGACGAUGGUUUGGAUGCCAUUGUGGAAAGUUUUUUCGGUGUGGGAUGAGCUCGCGGCCUAUCAGCUUGUUGGUGGGGUAAUGGCCUACCAAGGCGUCGACGGGUAGCCGGCCUGAGAGGGUGUACGGCCACAUUGGGACUGAGAUACGGCCCAG